rfam:Danio rerio chromosome 25 genomic contig CTG2378, GRCz11 reference primary assembly.
CCAAAGGCUCUUUUAAGAGCCACCUCAGUCUGUCUAACUGAAGUGGG